rnacentral:rRNA from 1 species
UACGUAGGAGGCGAGCGUUGUCCGGAAUUACUGGGCGUAAAGCGCGCGCAGGCGGUCGCGCAGGUCGUACUGUGAAAGCGCCCGGCUCAACCGGGCGUGGCGGGCGAAACCGCGCGACUUGAGGGCGGUAGAGGGCGGUGGAAUUCCGGGUGUAGUGGUGAAAUGCGUAGAGAUCCGGAGGAACACCCGUGGCGAAGGCGGCCGCCUGGGCCGACCCUGACGCUGAGGCGCGAAGGCCGGGGGAGCGAACGGG